rnacentral:rRNA from 1 species
UCGGGAAUUUUGGGCAAUGGGCGAAAGCCUGACCCAGCAACGCCGCGUGAAGGAUGAAGUAUUUCGGUAUGUAAACUUCGAAAGAAUAGGAAGAAUAAAUGACGGUACUAUUUAUAAGGUCCGGCUAACUACGUGCCAGCAGCCGCGGUAAUACGUAGGGACCAAGCGUUGUUCGGAUUUACUGGGCGUAAAGGGCGCGUAGGCGGCAUGACAAGUCACUUGUGAAAUCUCUGGGCUUAACCCAGAACGGCCAAGUGAUACUGUCGCGCUAGAGUGCAGAAGGGGCAAUCGGAAUUCUUGGUGUAGCGGUGAAAUGCGUAGAUAUCAAGAGGAACACCUGAGGUGAAGACGGGUUGCUGGGCUGACACUGACGCUGAGGCGCGAAAGCCAGGGGAGCAAACGGGAUUAGAUACCCAUGUAGUCCCUGAGCGGGCUGGCAAGGCGCAU